CCUACGGGGGGCUGCAGUGGGGAAUAUUGGACAAUGGGCGAAAGCCUGAUCCAGCAAUGCCGCGUGAGUGAUGAAGGCCUUAGGGUUGUAAAGCUCUUUUACCAGGGAUGAUAAUGACAGUACCUGGAGAAUAAGCUCCGGCUAACUCCGUGCCAGCAGCCGCGGUAAUACGGAGGGAGCUAGCGUUGUUCGGAAUUACUGGGCGUAAAGCGCACGUAGGCGGUUUUUCAAGUCAGGGGUGAAAGCCCGGAGCUCAACUCCGGAAUUGCCCUUGAAACUGGAUGACUAGAAUCUUGGAGAGGUCAGUGGAAUUCCGAGUGUAGAGGUGAAAUUCGUAGAUAUUCGGAAGAACACCAGUGGCGAAGGCGACUGACUGGACAAGUAUUGACGCUGAGGUGCGAAAGCGUGGGGAGCAAACAGGAUUAGAUACCCUAGUAGUC
rnacentral:rRNA from 1 species